UAGUUCGACCAAUCGCCGCAAGAUCAAGGGCGAUCUUGCUUCCAGCUUUCAGCCUCCAGGCUCCUGAGGGAGGCAGCCGUUCAGAUGAUGGGUUGGGUACAGUUAGCAGCUUCAGGAUAUCCGAACAGGAUGAAGAUAAGAUCAGAGAACCAUAGCGACGGAUCAGAUUAUCAGAGUGUACCUGUUUAUCCAAAGAAUGUAGAGAGUGGAGCUGUAUACUGGCUCUCUGAAGACAAAUAGAUCGCCCAGCAGAACCUAGCAGAUGCCGCAAUACUGAGAAGUGUGGAAGAUGUCACGCAGAGAAGAGGACCAUGUGUCAGCUGUCAUUGUUGAGUCUGGACUGGAGAGAGAACGCAGCUUUAAAUUCUGAGGUGGUGUCAUCUCAGAUGACCUGUCCUGGUCCAGCACAUAGACGUAAUCAUGAAGAAGGCACACCAGCAACUCUACUUUCUUAGAUGCUUAAGGCAUGUCACCAAAUAAUUGAGCAACUGUGGAAAGAAUUCUGACUAGUUGUAUCAAGGGCCUGGUAAUGUAAUUCCAAUGCACAGGAGCACAAGAGGCCUCAGAAAGCUGUGGACACGAGUCUGGUCCAUCAUGGUUCAUCAUGCCUCAAGAAGAUGACAUCUUUCAUCAAAGAUCUCCACUACGUGGGUCUUGUUUUUUCUCACUGCUACCAUCACAUAAAAUGCAGAAUCCUGAGGUAUAAGAUGAUGCAAGGCAUUGAUCGUGUGGAUAGUCAGAGGCUUUUUCUCAGGGCUGAAAUGCCUAACACGGGAGGGCACAGUUUUAAGAUGCUUGGAGGUAGGUACAGAGGAAAUGUUGGGGUAAGCUUUUUACGCAGAGUGGUGAGUGCGUGGAAUGGGCUGCUGGCGACGGUAGUGGAGGCGGAUAUGAUAGGGUCUUUUAAGAGACUCCUGGAUAGGUGCAUGGAGCUGAGAAAAAUAGAGGGCUAUAGGUACAAAUUUACCCCUUUCACCUUCAAACUAUGCCCUGAAAUAUUAGAUAUUUCAACCCUGGGAAAAUGAUAUCAGCCGUCCUCUAUCUGUGCCUCUCAUAAUUUUAUAAACUUUUAUUAGGUCUGCACUCAGCCUUCACUGUUUCAGAGAAAACAAUCCGAUUUGUCUAAACUAAUCUUGUAGCACAUGUUCUUCAAUCCUGACAGCAUCCAGGCAAACCACCUCUGCACAUUCCCCAAAACCUCCACAUCCUUCCUGUAAUGGGUCAAAAAGAAUUGAAUGGAAUAAUCUAGAUGCAGCUUAACUAGGGUUUUAUAAAGGUGCAAAAUAACUUCCUGUCUCUUGAACUCAGAGUGUUGACUAAUAAAGGCAAGCAUGCCAUGCUCCUUCUUUAUGACCCUUUUGUCAUGUGCAGCCACUUUUAGCGAACAAUGAACUUGGACACCAAGAUCCCUAUGUACAUCAACACUGUUAAGGGUCCUGCCAUUAACAGUAUACUUUAUAUAUGAUCUCUCAAAAUGCAACAACUCACACUUGUUUGGAUUAAACUCAAUCCAGCUGUAGCUUCUGAUCUAUAUUCUGCUGUAUCCAUUGAUAAUGUUCUACACUAUCCACAACACAACCAAUCUUUGCAUUGUCUGCAAAUUUAGAAAUCCAGCCAUUUAUGCUUUCAACCGAUCCAUUUAUAUAUGUAUAUCAAAAAAAAGAGAAGUCCCAGUAUUGAUUUCUGCGGAACAUCAAUUGCCAUGGAACUGCAGCUAGAAUAAGACCCACUGACUUUCACUAACAAGAGAAAAUCCAAGCAACUCAGUCAAAAUUCAGGAGGAACUCAGCAGGCCAAGGGUCUUAGUCCAAAACAUUGACUGUACUCUCUUCCAUAGAUGCUGCCUUGCCUGCUGAGUUCCUCCAACAUUUUGUGUGUGUUGCAUUGACUAUCACUCUUUGUUUUCUAUUGGCGAGCAGAAUCCAAACAGAUAAAUCACGAUAAAUUCCAUAUAUCUUAAUCUUCUGUAACUCCAUGAUGGAUGGUCCCCACCCUGGCUAUGAAAGAAGGAGGUUUGGGCAUAGGGAUAGCAACCUCAUCCAGUAAAUACCUAGUGCUACCAAAAUACCAAUAGAAGCUCCAAAGUCCUCGUCCCUGGGGGAGGAAGGAUCUUCAAUGGGCUACACUGGUAGGUAACUUAAAAGACUGGCCCAGGACAGUUGCUGUCUGUGGCCUAUUCCGCGGAAGCAGAGGUGGGCUUAAGUAAGUCAUCUUCUGUAUUCAUAUAAUGUAUUCAUGAAUUGGUCCCUUCUCUAAUAAUGAUGUGAACUGAAAAAAGAUCUCGUGCUUUCCCAGUGUAUAAACUCUUCUGGACCUCUAGCCAAGUACGGAUAUUGAUUAUAACUGAUGCUUCAAUGACAAACUCUACCAUGUUCUUCAGGGAUGAAGAAUACUGCCAAACAAGACACAUUCAGGGCAUCAUCCCUGAAGAAGAUGGCAGUGCUUGUUGUUGAAGCGUUGGUUAUAAACGACACCUGUACAAAGCUGGAAGCCCGAGAAGAGUUUAUUCGUCAUUAAUGAUGUGACCUGCUAUCAAAGAGAAGUAGACUGUCAUGAAGCAUAGUGCUCUUCUAUCAUCUUGGAGCUUAAUGUUAUCAGGACAGUGGAAAUGAGGUUGACUUCUACCGACAACCCGCUAUGGUCAAGCUAUGUCUGUGGUUGAGUCAUUCAAAUUCUUGGGGAGUACAAUUACCAAUAUAUUGAAGUGGGGUAAGCACAUUACACUCAUCACUAGGAAAACAAAGCAGAAAUUGUUCUUCCUGAGCAUCUCAGGGUGUACUCUGACGAAUUUUUACUCAACCAUCAUUGAGAGUGUUGUGAUCACUGCUAUCACCGUUUGGUUUCCCACCACAUUCUCCUAUCUCUCCAAGUCCAGGUUGCAGCCAGUGGUCAUUGGCUGUCGGCGACCGACAUUAAAAGACCUGUUCCUUGCCAGAGUGAAGAGAAGAGCUGGACAAACUACUGCCGGCUCCACCCACACUGGCAGUCACUUAUUCAACAAAUUGCAAUGAAGGAGACUCCAUAAGUCCAUCACCAGACUAUUCAUUUUCUCUGAAGCUCAUUUCCAGCUUCCCAAUAAAACUCACUUAGAUGUAAUACCCUGAGUAUCUCUGCACAACAUCCAUUAAAUGGUCUU